UGAGUUGAAGCUGAAACGAAACGAUAGCAUUUGGCCGUUAACCAAAAGGAUGAAGGUUGUACUCCUUUCAACUCA
rnacentral:tRNA from 1 species